AUAGCCCAGGGAAACCUGGAUUAAUACCGGAUGAGACGGGACCCGCGAAGGCGGGACCCGGGAAAGGCGCUGCGGCGCCGCCGGGGGAUGAGUCUGCGUCCCAUUAGCUAGACGGCGGGGUAACGGCCCACCGUGGCGACGAUGGGUAGCCGGCCUGAGAGGGUGGACGGCCACAUUGGAACUGAGACACGGUCCAGACUCCUACGGGAGGCAGCGGCUAAGAAUCUUCCGCAAUGGGCGAAAGCCUGACGGAGCGACGCCCGCGUGAACGAAGAAGGCCGUGAAGGUUGUAAAGUUCUUUUCGGGAGGGGGAACAACCGUGGCAGGGAAUGGCCGCGGGAUGACGUGAAUCCCGGAAUAAGCCCCGGCUAACUACGUGCCAGCAGCCGC
rnacentral:rRNA from 1 species